rnacentral:rRNA from 1 species
ACCCCUGCAGUGCCGUAGCUAACGCGAUAAGUAUCCCGCCUGGGGAGUACGCACGCAAGUGUGAAACUCAAAGGAAUUGACGGGGACCCGCACAAGCGGUGGAACAUGUGGUUUAAUUCGAAGCAACGCGAAGAACCUUACCAGGACUUGACAUCUAGGGAAUCUCACAGAAAUGUGAGAGUGCCUUCGGGAACUCUAAGACAGGUGGUGCACGGUUGUCGUCAGCUCGUGUCGUGAGAUGUUGGGUUAAGUCCCGCAACGAGCGCAACCCUCGUUGUUAGUUGCCUGCAACAGCAUGCUUUUGCAGUGCUCUCUAGCGAGACUGCCGGUGAUAAACCGGAGGAAGGUGGGGGUGACGUCAAAUCAUCAUGCCCCUUAUGUCCUGGGCUACACACGUGUUACAAUGGAUGGGACAACGAGCAGCCAGCCAGCGAUGGUGAGCAAAUCUCUUAAACCCAUUCUCAGUUCGGAUCGCAGUCAGCAACUCGACUGCGUGAAGUCGGAAUCGCUAGUAACCGUAGAUCAGCACGCUGCGGUGAAUACGUUCCCGGGUCUUGUACACACCGCCCGUCACACCAUGGGAGCUGAUCACGCCCGAAGUCGGUGAGCUAACUCUCUGAGAAGCAGCCGCCUAAGGCAGGGUUGGUGACUGGGGUGAAGUCGUAACAAGGUAGCCG